rnacentral:rRNA from 1 species
UACGGAGGGUGCGAGCGUUGCUCGGAAUUACUGGGCGUAAAGCGCGUGUAGGCGGUUUGGCAAGUCGGGUGUGAAAUCCCUCGGCUUAACUGAGGAACUGCGCCUGAUACUACCAAGCUUGAGUCCCGGAGAGGAUGGUAGAAUUCCCGGUGUAGAGGUGAAAUUCGUAGAUAUCGGGAGGAACACCAGUGGCGAAGGCGGCCAUCUGGACGGGUACUGACGCUGAGACGCGAAAGCGUGGGGAG